rnacentral:rRNA from 1 species
GACGGAGGGUGCAAACGUUGUUCGGAAUUACUGGGCGUAAAGCGCGUGUAGGCGGUCCGAAAAGUCGGAUGUGAAAUCCCUCGGCUCAACCGAGCGAACUGCAUUCGAUACUGCCGGACUGGAGUUCGGGAGAGGGAAGUGGAAUUCCCGGCGUAGAGGUGAAAUUCGUAGAUAUCGGGAGGAACACCGGUGGCGAAGGCGGCUUCCUGGACUGAUACUGACGCUGAGACGCGAAAGCGUGGGGAGCAAACAGG